GCUGGACGUGGUGGCGCAUGCCUGUAAUCCCAGCUACUCGGGAGGCUGAGGCAGGAGGAUCACUUGAACCCGGGAGGCAGAGGUGGCAGUGAGCCGAGAUCAUGCCGCUGCACUCCAGCCUGGGUGACAAAGUGAGAACCUGUCUCAA
rnacentral:SRP_RNA from 1 species